rnacentral:rRNA from 1 species
CAGCAGCCACGGUAAUACGGAGGGAGCUAGCGUUGUUCGGAAUUACUGGGCGUAAAGCGCGCGUAGGCGGUUACUCAAGUCAGAGGUGAAAGCCCGGGGCUCAACCCCGGAACUGCCUUUGAAACUAGGUGACUAGAAUCUUGGAGAGGUCAGUGGAAUUCCGAGUGUAGAGGUGAAAUUCGUAGAUAUUCGGAAGAACACCAGUGGCGAAGGCGACUGACUGGACAAGUAUUGACGCUGAGGUGCGAAAGCGUGGGGAGCAAACAGGAUUAGAUACCCCUGUAGUCCCUGUCUCUUAUAC